GUAGUCCUGGCUGUAAACGAUGUCGACUUGGAGGUUGUGCCCUUGAGGCGUGGCUUCCGGAGCUAACGCGUUAAGUCGACCGCCUGGGGAGUACGGCCGCAAGGUUAAAACUCAAAUGAAUUGACGGGGGCCCGCACAAGCGGUGGAGCAUGUGGUUUAAUUCGAUGCAACGCGAAGAACCUUACCUGGUCUUGACAUCCACGGAAGUUUUCAGAGAUGAGAAUGUGCCUUCGGGAACCGUGAGACAGGUGCUGCAUGGCUGUCGUCAGCUCGUGUUGCGAAAUGUUGGGUUAAGUCCCGCAACGAGCGCAACCCUUAUCCUUUGUUGCCAGCGGUCCGGCCGGGAACUCAAAGGAGACUGCCAGUGAUAAACUGGAGGAAGGUGGGGAUGACGUCAAGUCAUCAUGGCCCUUACGACCAGGGCUACACACGUGCUACAAUGGCGCAUACAAAGAGAAGCGACCUCGCGAGAGCAAGCGGACCUCAUAAAGUGCGUCGUAGUCCGGAUUGGAGUCUGCAACUCGACUCCAUGAAGUCGGAAUCGCUAGUAAUCGUGGAUCAGAAUGCCACGGUGAAUACGUUCCCGGGCCUUGUACACACCGCCCGUCACACCAUGGGAGUGGGUUGCAAAAGAAGUAGGUAGCUUAACCUUCGGGAGGGCGCUUACCACUUUGUGAUUCAUGACUGGGGUGAAGUCGUAACAAGGUAACCGUAGGGGAACCUGCGGCUGGAUCACCUCC
rnacentral:rRNA from 1 species